GACGAACGCUGGCGGCGUGCUUAACACAUGCAAGUCGAACGGAAAGGCCCUGCUUUUGUGGGGUGCUCGAGUGGCGAACGGGUGAGUAACACGUGAGUAACCUGCCCUUGCCUUUGGGAUAACUUCCGGAAACUGGGGCUAAUACCGGAUAGGAGCUCCUGCUGCAUGGUGGGGGUUGGAACGUUUCGGCGGUUGGGGAUGGACUCGCGGCUUAUCAGCCUGUUGGUGGGGUAGUGUCUUACCAUGGCUUUGACGAGUAGCCGGCCUGAGAGGGUGACCGGCCACACUGGAACUGAGAUACGGCACAGACUCCUCCGGGAGGCAGCAGGGGGGAAUAUUGCACAAUGGGCGGAAGCCUGAUGCAGCAACGCCGCGUGCGGGAUGACGGCCUUCGGGUUGUAAACCGCUUUCGCCUGUGACGAAGCGGGAGUGACGGUAAUGGGUAAAGAAGCACCGGCUAACUACGUG
rnacentral:rRNA from 1 species